AUCAGUACUUAUCAUCGAUAUAUUUUCCAUUGUGGUGACAGAUAUAUG
rnacentral:antisense_RNA from 1 species